CGACCGGCGCACGGGUGAGUAACACGUAUCCAACCUGCCGUCUACUCUUGGCCAGCCUUCUGAAAGGAAGAUUAAUCCAGGAUGGGAUCAUGAGUUCACAUGUCCGCAUGAUUAAAGGUAUUUUCCGGUAGACGAUGGGGAUGCGUUCCAUUAGAUAGUAGGCGGGGUAACGGCCCACCUAGUCAACGAUGGAUAGGGGUUCUGAGAGGAAGGUCCCCCACGUUGGAACUGAGACACGGUCCAA
rnacentral:rRNA from 1 species